CUCUCUAAUAAUCCUCCACUACAAGUAGCUUCGGAGAUAGAAAAUAGCGAUUUAUUUACUCUCAUAGGGAUUCUGAACAGAGGGGCUUAAUUUCAUUUUCUUCCACCAACAAUGCUUUCUUGACAAUCGAUCUAGCGUCACCAUUUGCACAUUGCCAUACCUCGCAGAAGCCACGAGGAAACAAUCACAACCAAACAGGAUUGGAAACCAUUACCAUAAUGGGUGCUGUGAAAUGAAUAUUGAAACGGAUGGAUGAAUUUGAUGCAGAAAUCUUCUCUCUCAAAAAAAAAAAAAAAAAACGAAAAGUAGAGAGGAGAAAAUGAAGCUUGCUUACCGGUCAUGGCAUUUCACCAGAGCGCUCUGCUUCUAACUGUUCUAUGCGUCUUCUUGUGGGUAAGAGGCAAGGUCUUCCAAAAUUCUCCACUGUGUUCAACAAACUUUCAGGAUCUACUACAAUUUUCUUAAGAGAAUGGGAAAUAGUGAUCGGGAUCCUCGUUAGCUGUGGGCAAUUACCCACAGUAAUUUCUUCGAGAGAAUUGCAUAGAAGAUUUCCAGAAUAAAUGCUAUUCAAAUUUGGUAAUUUCUUCAAUACCAAAACCCUCAAUGUUGUAUCCAAGCAAGAAAAUAUCCUCUGAUGGGUUCUCCCCUCUUCAUCUGUUCCCACUGUCUCCCCCAUUCCAUCACAUUCUUCGACUCCAAUCACUUCCAAUCGGAGUCUAGACAACAACCAAGCAGGGAGCAGCACCUUCAAUCUAUGACAUUUGUGUAUCACGAUCUCUCUGAGUUUGCAAAAGACACCAACAGUACCUAGCCCUGAAGGUAUUUCAAAAGGGCUUUCUAAGAUAUACAAGCAGGGAGCAGCACCUUCAAUCUAUGACAUUUGUUCUACGAGAUAUUCCCUUCUCUGGAUGAAAAUCAUCACACAAAUCAUCAAGAAUGAUAACAUGGUUUUGUAUCGCACUCCAUGCUGUCCAUAGCUCCCCAGCUCUACUCAUCACAUCGUUUCCUUUCGGAAGACAUAAACCAAAAAGCUUAGGCAAUGAGAUCCUGCAAUGCGUGAAUGCUAAAUUCUUGUGACAUAUAUAGUAAUCCAACAAACAUGAAAAAAUGUCUGGUUUCUCUUAAUAUGUCACUUCCUGCUGGAGCUAAUUGGAUGUUUGUGAGGGGAGAGGGUCGUUUUUUCAGGGGUUUUGUUUUGGUUGGUCCACCGGAUGAUAAUUUCGCCAGUGUCUUUUGCAGAAUUAGUGGUAAGUUUACUGCCUUAUUUUAGAGAGGGGCUGCUAUAACAGUCAUGGUGUGUUGCAGGUUUCCUUUUUCAGCUUUUACUAUCUCUGAUUGCUCAGGUUUUUGUUUUGUUUUCCAACUUUUUUUUCUCUCUAGCCUUGCUUGACCUGUGCCUUUGUUGUUUGUGCUUUGCUCUGUUAGUGGCUUUAGUUUUUAGUAGUUUAGUUAAGGAGGGCCUGCUGUGGCCUUUGUCAGCCCCUUUCAAGUUUGCUAUUUUUCUUUGUCCUUGAUUGCAGUUUGUGUUUUUGUUGGUUUUACUUGCAUUUAUGAUUGGUUUAUGGAUUUUGAUAGUUGCUCUCAUAAUUUCUCCCUACUGUUGUGCCCUGCUUUAUCGAUUUAUAAGAGAUGGGUCGAAAAGAGAUGCGAGGCAAAAUCUUUUGCAGGUAGGACUCUUUAUCCUGCUGUGCCCUUGGUUGAAAACAGUCAUUGUUUGCAUUUUUCUUUGGUGUUUAUAGUCAUUUACUCGGGGACGAGGGCUGUGAUGGCACCUUUGAAUGUCAACUGCGGAACUGUCCUGGUUGGUUUUCAUUUUCAUGAACCAUGCACACGAAUGUUUGGUUGCUUGCUUAGCCUAUGCUUCCUUUUUUUCCACACCUAUGUUUUUUCUUCGAGUUUCCUGUUGUUUUUUGGCUGACCCGACUGCUUUUAUCCUUAGCUCCUUUUUGCUGUGCUGGUGAGCCUCCCCAAUCCUCUCCUUUGUACACUAUUCCUUUGCAUUCUUGAAGAGGUCUGCAUAAUUAUCAACCUUCUUAGAGACGAUAAGGUUUUGCAAUCUUUUCUUUGACUAUAUAAGCAUAAAGGCAAUGCCAAAGAGUUCGAUGAGGCUGAUACCUUCUGCUGGACUGACUUUGUACUGCUUGAAGAGCUAUUUACAGGCAUUUUCACUUCAAGAUUGUUAGAUCAAACUAUGGUAAUCUUACCAAGGCUAGAAAAACUAGAUUGUGAUUUUAUGUUUACUUCAAGUAGAAAGAAGGGCUAGGAAAGAGUCAACAGCCCUAUAUCGACAUUGAAAGCAUACAAGAAGGUGAUUCUAAAUUAUAAAAAAUCAGAUGAAUAAACUCUCUUCAUAAUUGGUUUUUCUCAUUUAUAUUCUAAUAAUAGGGUGUUGUUACACGGUUCUCUUUUUUGCAAAUGACGAGAUUCAAAGUGGUGUUGACCAUUUCAAAGAGUCUGCAGUCAUUCAAGAUAGCAGGGGAAUCUGCAGUGAUGGAAAUCACCAUCCAAUUAAUGAAUGAUUAUUGACUUAAUCUCUAUGUGCUUUAUGGUGGGAUUUUAUUGAAGUAAUAAUUCAGAAGCUUUUUGUUAACUCAGAGGUGUCAUGUUCAAUAUAUAAGCUUUUAAAUUGCUCAGGCACUUCAAAUGAGGAUGGAAGUGCGGUGGAAACUUCAUGGAUAGAUUGCAGGUAUGAAGACAUUUACAGCUGAGAAUUGAAGCUCCAGGUGAACUACUUGCAGUCAGUGUUGAAGAAAGCGCAAUAAACACUGCCUAAACACUUCAAAAACUGGCAUCUCUCAGUUAGUUGAUGUCCACGUGCUGUUGUAUUGGAGUUGACAGACACAGGAGGCUCAAGCUUAAAGGAUAUUAGAUGUUAUCUAAUUAAUUUUUACUAGAGAUUUUCAGGUUUGAUUCGCUUAAUGGAAGAACUUGCUUGCACUGUCCUGCUUAUUAUGGCCAUUUUGAUUACCUUCAAGCUACUCUUUCUGCUGCCAUCAAUCCAACCUGUUACUGUUUCUUGAGACAAUGAACUUCGGGUGAGCCAUGCAAGCCCCGCAGGUUACAGUGAGUAAACAACGAGUAUGCAUGCUCCCGCCAGCCUGCAAAAUUUAGCACAAAGCAAUCGUUGAUUAAUUUGUAGCAAAUAACAGAGUCUAUGGCCUAAGCCUACAGCCAAUCUCGAAAUCGUUGAUUAAUUUAGGACUCAUUUCUCCGUAUGUUUACUUUGUUUAAUUUUUAAUGAAAGCUAAUCUAACUUUGAUGCGUGCUAAAGCUCGGUUGAUUUGAUCAAGCCGAUCAGAUUCACAGUCUAAAGCCCUCAUCAACAUAAAUUAUCAUAUUUAUAAAGGCCAAAAUCAUGGCCAGAUUUUGCGCA